UGCAGUCGAGCGAAAGAUAAGGAGCUUGCUCCUUUGAAGUUAGCGGCGGACGGGUGAGUAACACGUGGGUAACCUACCUAUAAGACUGGAAUAACUUCGGGAAACCGGAGCUAAUGCCGGAUAACAUAUAGAACCGCAUGGUUCUAUAGUGAAAGAUGGUUUUGCUAUCACUUAUAGAUGGACCCGCGCCGUAUUAGCUAGUUGGUAAGGUAAAGGCUUACCAAGGCGACGAUACGUAGCCGACCUGAGAGGGUGAUCGGCCACACUGGAACUGAGACACGGUCCAGACUCCUACGGGAGGCAGCAGUAGGGAAUCUUCCGCAAUGGGCGAAAGCCUGACGGAGCAACGCCGCGUGAGUGAUGAAGGUUUUCGGAUCGUAAAACUCUGUUAUUAGGGAAGAACAAAUGCGUAAGUAACUGUGCGCAUCUUGACGGUACCUAAUCAGAAAGCCACGGCUAACUACGUGCCAGCAGCCGCGGUAAUACGUAGGUGGCAAGCGUUAUCCGGAAUUAUUGGGCGUAAAGCGCGCGUAGGCGGUUUCUUAAGUCUGAUGUGAAAGCCCACGGCUCAACCGUGGAGGGUCAUUUGGAACUGGGAAACUUGAGUGC
rnacentral:rRNA from 1 species